UAUUGGUCUCCUUUCCCUCCUGCCUCCUUGUCCACUACCCCUGGGGCGGAGGGGGUCUCUUAGUGUGAGAAUGCAGGAAAACAACGCUACAGGAGGCCACUCAUAUAAGCCAGGUUGGCAAAGCAGGGCUUGCUGUGCUCUCCUCUGAAGGGUGUUAGCUUUCUCAGACGGCGCCAGGAGGAGAUCAUUCUGGGACAGGAAGAUUGAAACAGCAGAGCAAGGCAGACUGGUCUGCAGCAGACUCCAUUUUGGUUGAAAGGUGACCAGACAGGAAUAGUCAAGAUCUACUUUGCCUCAUUCUAACUGUGACCCUAAUCUGCUGUGACUAAGGUUACUGUCUUUCUGUUGAUGGACUGCUCCUGUGGCCCGUUGAGACAUUGUGAGACAUAACAGUUGGGGUCCGUGUAAAAGGAGCCUUAGAACUAUCUAGUGCAUUUGCUCAUUCAUGCGGUGGUGUUUGUUGAGUACCUGCCGUGUGCCUCAUACAGGUCUGGGCUCUGGGGAUACAACGUGAUGAGACAGACAUAGGUCCUUCUCUCAUGGAGACCACCUCUUAGCAGGAUGUCCACUCCCUCCUUUUCAGAUGCCUGAGGCUCAGAGUGACUUGUCCAAAGUCAUACAGUCAGGUGAGAAAAGAAUUUGCUGAGUAUGUACCGCUGGUCCCCUGGAGGAUAGAGCAGAAAUAGACAACCCAGCCGGUGCCACAAACAAACUUGUUAGAGAGAUGAGACUUAUGCCCAAGAUAGUAUAAGGAUUUAGGCAGCACAGGCUAGGUGAGUAGACAGUAAUUAUUUAAUUGCUUUAGUUACUUAAGGGCAGUUUUUGUGCCAAAACAAAUUAGUCAGGGGGGUUGUUUUUGUGUUUGUUGUUUGUUUCUUUAAAGUUCAAUUUAUUAAGGUACACAUUUGAAACUCAAGUUCUUGAUUUUAAAUUCUGCUUAUAAGUAAAGAUUUGUACAUCUAGAAAAUCUGAAAAAUCAUUUUUGAAGGCCUUAGAUUAACAUGUUGUAUCACUUCCAAAUGCAGUUAAACUACUUUAAAUAUUUUAGACUGUGUGUACAAAUUUAAUACAUUUGAUUUCCUUUUGAAGUAACUCAAUUGCCUGAUUUAACAAAACAUCCUGAGUACUUGAAUCAGCUCUUAAAGAAUUAACGGGUCACAAUCUUAAAAGUGUGGUGGUUAAAAGAAAAGCUUAAGUUUUCUUAGAUGUUUCAAUGCUAUAUAAACUUAGUGAGGUUUCUACUUGAAGUCAAAAGUCUAAAUUAGUUAUCCACCUGACAUUCAGGAUGAAAUUUCAACAUUGAUCUCUUUACAACUGAAAUAGGCCAAAUUAUCCUAAGUUUUUCACAUACCUAAAAUACCAAACGUGCACAGAUUCCUAAGGCAAAAUAUUAAUGCUGUAGUUUUGAUACUCUUAAACAUUUCUAUACUUGGUUUUACCUCUUUCUCAAAUAAAAGGUAUCAGGGGACAAUUCAGAUCAUCCUGCCGUAUUCUCGGCGUUUGGGGGGUUGCUUUCUCAGCUUGCUGGAGAUUACACAGCAAGCAGAGAUUUUGGUCUAGAUACUGACUCAACCCUCACCUGUUGCCCCCAUUGUCAAGAACGCUCCUUGCGGUGUCCCCAGGCAUGGCUUUCCCUUUCAUGUUGGACAGUGAGUGAUCCUGCUGUUCAAAGAAACUUUCAGCUUGCCUUCAAUUUGAUUGGUCAUUUGGUUGAAUUUUACUUUUCUUUGGAUCUUAAGAUACGUAAAAGUAUUUUAUGUCAAACACAAAACAGCCUUGAAUUGGGAGAUUCCUGCGUUGUCUGAUCACCCCUAUUUUUAGAACCUCACAACUCCUAGGAGUAUUAAGAUGUCAAUGCGUGUUCUACUGUGGGUAGUGAGUCACUUCCAUCUGUGACAUGUGGACAGGCCUUCCUCGACUUCACGGUCACAUUUUAAGGGGCACCUGGGUGAUUUGGUCGGUUAAGUGUCCAACUUCAGGUCAGUCAUGAUCUCAGGGUUUGUGAGUUCAAGCCCCGCGUCAGGCUCUCUGUGUUUCCCUCUCUCUCUGUUUCUCCCUCUCUCUCUCUCUCUCUCUCUCUCUCUCUCUGUCUCUCUCUCUCUCUCUCUCUCUCAAAAAUAAACAUUUAAAAAAAAUGUUAAGUCACAUUUUAAGAUGAGGCCCUGGCCUUCGAGGAAUGUACGGUUUGGCAUUCUUUUCUCUUUCCAGAGCUCCUUAAAGAGGUACAUUUCCUCAGAUAUACCUCUUGAAAUCUCUCCUACACCUGCCACAGGACGGCCAGUGUACCUGCAAGGGGAGUCACAGAUAUUGGAGGAAUUGAAUAGGAAAUUAUGGGAAACUGUGGACUUGAGUGGAAAGUUGAGGUAGAAUUGAUUCAGUAGAGACACAGACUGAAGGUUAAUCUUUGAAGAAGUCGAGCAGCACAGAGGGUGUAAACUGACAGAAAGGUAAGAUCUAAGGAGGCAUCCUGUAGGUUGAUGAGAAUGAGAGAGUUCAGAGAAACAUGAUAAUAAGAAAUAAAUGGAGCGGGCGCUGACCGUAGCCAGCCUCUCUCUUACAUGUUGUGGAUGUGUUGACUAACUCACUUCCUUCUCCCGGCAUCCCUAGAGGGCAGAUGCCAUCAUUAUUGCCAUUUUUCCAGAAGGAGGAAAGAGCUGUACCAAAGAGCUUAAGUCACGUAUUCUCGGACUGUGUGUGGGAUGAUUGAAGAUCUUUCAGCAGACACUUCGGUGUGACCUGUGAAGAAGCAGCGGUGUCCCCCGAGCCCCCCUUCCCAGUCUUGCUGGCUGGGCCUGCCGUCAGAGUUCGGUUCUGUCUGCCUGGAAGCUAUCCUCUCAUGCGAGGUGCUCGCCGGAGUGCUUGAGGAUGGAGCAGGGCCAGGUCAAGCUUGCAAAACAGAUUUAAGGCGAGGGUUUUGUGCCUGCUUGGCGAUAGUGCUGCUUGUUUAGCAGAAUUUGAUCUCAGACUUGCUGCCAUGGUAACGGGCACCUGUCAGUGAGCUUGUGCAGGGCUGCCUUACCUCUGAUCUCCAGAGAUUGCUAUUGUCUCCCAGAAGCCGUGACAAUUGCCUAACUACCCCACAGCCGAGGGCAGCUUGAAACUGCCCCAGGUCACAUGGCUGCUAGGUGGCAGUGCUCACAUAAAAGAUGUCAGCAAGGCACUCAUCUUUCAUUUUUUAUUUACUUAUUAAAUAAAAGGUAUUAGCACGGCACACUGCCACUCUGUCAGAGGAGGUGCACACAGGCCAGCAGGGUCCUGGCGAGGGGGCAGGGCUUUUGGGCAAAGGGCAGAACUAGAGACAGUAGUUGUUUUAAGAGGAGAGAUUCCUUCGAGUCAGGAAAGGGGGUGAUGGCGUGAAGGCCUAGAAUUAGGCACCUCUAAUUCUAGAGGUGGAGGGAGGAGAAGCUUCUGCCUGGUGGCUCGCGUUUCCUUGGUGAAGCGGAGAUCCAGGACUCGGGUUGAAGUAAAGGGGGUGGGAUUGGUAGAGGGCUUAAGUUCAGCGGCGACUGGACACAGUGCCUUUUGUUCGCCUCGUUCACAGUCGUCUGGGAAGCAGGGCUAUCCGGGACCAGGAGGGUAGAGCUUCUCUGAAGAGAAGCCUAGGAGGCUGAGCACAGAUGGCCCUAGGGUCUAGGUAGAGCGUUUGUCCCGACCCCUGGCACCUAUUAAGAUGUCCAGGUCAUUCAAUAGGAGGCCAAGGAUCCCUGCCCGUCCUUCUCAUGAUCAGUGAGAAGAAGGACAGAGCACAGGCUGAGGGACCAAGUAGCCAGAGACACUUGCUCAGCAGGGCUCAGCGAGUCUGGAAGGGGAAGAUGACGGGGCAUUUUCCAGUCUCUUCCGAAAGUGCAUGGGAGUUUUGGAUGCGCGUCUUGAAUUUUAAGACUCCCUGAGGUCAAAGAGGAGGACAGUCAGUUCUGGAGGAGAUGAAAUGGCUUUGCCUUUUGUUUCUCUGCAAGAGCUGAUGAAUAAUUCAAGGCAAUGGUGAGGAAGUGGGCUCUGUAGGACAGGCCAGCUUGGAGCACAUUCAUCCUGGUGGGUUGCCGUGGGACUGAGCUCUGUCUCCAUCUUGUAUGCUCCUCAGCCUCCCUGGCCCUGAGCCCACAUGGCUCCCGUGGAGCCGUGCUCCCUUUCAGCCAAGGGGAUGAAUGUCUGCUACAGAAAGGCCCUGGAAGAACUUCAAAACUCAGGCAGAGACAAGCAGGCGUGAAGAGGCCAGCUGCCUUCCUCUCGGGCAUUUGCUUUGUACUGCGAGGACCAAUGAGGGGCACUGCUAAGGGACGGGGAGAGGUGAGAAAGUGGGUUGGCCGGCUGGGGAGUCCCACAGGCCUGCUGGACCUUGCUCCUGCCUGCCCAUGUGUGGCCACGGGCUUCUUUCUCUACUCAGCUGGAGACAGUCUGUCCGGGACGGACAAAAUGCACCUUUUAAGUAGCCCUUCCCCCCAGGACUCACCUUUGAUCUCAAUUUGCUGGUUCCCGUUUAAAGGAGUAGAUGUCAAGAGCCCUCCAAUGCAGCAGAUGCCCACCUCCAGCUGGAACUGAAUUUACACACCAGUAAAUCAGAGAGUUAAUAAUCAAACUGUCUGGAUUUUGCCUUCAAAUUCGGCCAUCAGUGUAUUCUUAUUGUAUCCUGUAGCACCUAAAAAUACCUUUGAGGCACUUUAAGUACACAAAACACCACACUGCUUGUCUUUGUUAAGAGUGGCCGUGCAAAGGUCCUGGCACCAACGCCUGAUGACCCAACGCAAGAGCCGGCUGCCGCCUUCCUCACCGCGUGGAAGACUUGAAGACUUGCCUAGGCAGCCACACGUGAAGGAAGAGAAAAGGGUGUCCGUGCAAAAUAAUGGCAUUUCUGGGUAUCAUGUUUUCUUUAUGUAGGUAGUCAGCUCUAUGAAAGUGUGUUUAGCGACUCAGUCAUAAACGAAUUUGAGAACUUUUGGCAGUCAAACCAAGGUCUUGUAUGGGACAAGGGAAUGGAUGUUGAUCUCAGGAAACCCCUCAUCAGUCUUCAGCAAUGUUCCCCAAAAUACAGAGGAAGGGAACCCCUGUGUGGGUGCAAAUUCUCCUCCAGGACUCAACCUCCUGACUUAGAGGCACUCCCUGCAGUCAGCGUGGUCUGACCCCUUUUUGGUCUCCCAGGAAAAAUUAGACUUCUUCAUUCGAACAGAAGUCCUCACUGUUUUGUAAAGUAGUGCUCCCCUCUCCAAAUAAAAACAUGGACCUGAGAGUAAAGGAAUGGUGUCAUGGUACUGUGAGUGUGUGUGUAUACUGGGACGUGGGGGAGGGGCCCUGGGGGAGUCACUAUAAACACAGAGCCAUGAGAAUCUGCUCAUCACUUAGCAAGCACAGAUCGAGUGCCCACAGAAUAGCUUGAUGUAGGAAUUAGAUGAAUUGAGACAAUAGUAACAAUGAUAAUAGAACACUUUCUAUGACUAAACUCUAUUCCAAGUGGCUAUGAUCUGAAUAUUUGUGCCCCCCCCCCAUCAAAUUCAUGUAUUGAAAUCAAACCCCUAAGGUGCUGGCAUUAAGAAGUGGGGCCAUUGGGAAAUGAUUCGGUUGCUAAAGCAGAGCCCUUAUAAAUGGGAUUAAUGCCUAUAAAAGACGCCAGAGAGUUCCCUUGUCCCUUCUGCCAUGUAAGGGCACAGUGAGAAGACAGCCAUCAGUGGGAAAGCUGACUCUCAGCAGACACAGAAUCUGCCAGAGCCAUAAUCUUGGGCUUCCCAGCAGCCAGAACUGUGAGAAACCCAUUUCUGUUGUCCUUAAGCCUCCCGGUUUGUGAUAUUUUUUAUUAUAGCAGGUGAAGAAAGUAAAGCACAAACCCUCCUAUGUUUUGGGAAAUGUGUAAUUUGGUGAAGAGGAACACUGUAUACCCAGGUACCAGAAAAC
rnacentral:lncRNA from 1 species